rnacentral:rRNA from 1 species
CGUGCUUAACACAUGCAAGUCGAACGGUAAGGCCCUUCGGGGUACACGGGUGGCGAACGGGUGAGUAACACGUGGGUGAUCUGCCCUGCACUUUGGGAUAAGCCUGGGAAACUGGGUCUAAUACCGAAUACACCCUGCUGGUCGCAUGGCCUGGUGGGGGAAAGCUUUUGCGGUGUGGGAUGGGCCCGCGGCCUAUCAGCUUGUUGGUGGGGUGAUGGCCUACCAAGGCGACGACGGGUAGCCGGCCUGAGAGGGUGUCCGGCCACACUGGGACUGAGAUACGGCCCAGACUCCUACGGGAAGCAGCAGUGGGGAAUAUUGCACAAUGGGCGCAAGCCUGAUGCAGCGACGCCGCGUGAGGGAUGACGGCCUUCGGGUUGUAAACCUCUUUCAAUAGGGACGAAGCGCAAGUGACGGUACCUAUAGAAGAAGCACCGGCCAACUACGUGCCAGCAGCCGCGGUAAUACGUAGGGUGCGAGCGUUGUCCGGAAUUACUGGGCGUAAAGAGCUCGUAGGUGGUUUGUCGCGUUGUUCGUGAAAACUCACAGCUUAACUGUGGGCGUGCGGGCGAUACGGGCAGACUGGAGUACUGCAGGGGAGACUGGAAUUCCUGGUGUAGCGGUGGAAUGCGCAGAUAUCAGGAGGAACACCGGUGGCGAAGGCGGGUCUCUG